CAGAGAAGAAUGUGAGUAACACUACAAAGUGUACUUACGUGAAAAUGCAACUUGGAGAACCAACUGUCUGUCAAGAAAUGGAAAUGAAACAUGGAGAAAAAAAUUCUGUUAGAUUACAUGGGAAACAGCCAGUAUGAAAUGUUUGAAGACAGCUCCAGGUCACACGAGGCAUACUGUAUGGUGGGAAUUCUCCUACAGCAUGGAGCAUUAGACGAUGUCAUGAACAAUUCCAAGAAGAAGGUUGUUAUUGUAAAGGCAAAUCACUGGGCCAUCCUUGAGGGUCUGACACAG